GACGAACGCUGGCGGCGUGCUUAACACAUGCAAGUCGAACGGAAAGGCCCUGCUUUUGCGGGGUGCUCGAGUGGCGAACGGGUGAGUAACACGUGAGUAACCUGCCCUUGACUUUGUGAUAUCUUCAGGAAACUCGGGUUAAUACCGGAUAGGAGCUCCUGCUGCAUGGUGGGGGUUGGAAAGAUUCGGCGGUUGGGGAUGGACUCGCGGCUUAUCAGCUUGUUGGUCGGGUAGUGGCUUACCAAGGCUUUGACGGGUAGCCGGCCUGAGAGGGUGACCGGCCACAUUGGGACUGAGAUACGGACCAGACUCGUACGUGAGGCAGCAGUGGGGAAUAUUGCACAAUGGGCGGAAGCCUGAUGCAGCAACGCCGCGAGCGGGAGGACGGCCUUCGGGUUGUAAACCGCUUUCGCCUGUGACGAAGCGUGAGUGACGGUAAUGGGUAAAGAAGCACCGGCUAACUACGUG
rnacentral:rRNA from 1 species